AAUACAAAAUUAUUCAAUGAGGCUACUUACUUACAUAUACGUAUUUCUACCUCUACAGUAAGGUUCUCUGCAGUAUCUCAUAAUGGACUCAACAUUCUUGAGGUUCUAUGGGGAAUCGUACAUACGACUUAUUGGCAAAAUUCCGCCUUUUUAAAAAAUAAAAUAUAGCCGGUGUUUUUUUUAUCAAUAACUGCUUGUUUUACAGCUCAUAGGCUACAUAUAAACAAACCACCAACGAUCAGGCAAUGAAGAUAUCAAACCAAACAAACACGUGAAUAAACCCACACCACCGCUAGAAGUCAGCUUUUGCGUCGUGGAUAUCAAAAGCAACCUGCGCUGAAAACACUUCAAAUCGUCAAUACACCACACCAUAUUCCACGGCGACAGCUGUGUUGAUGCCGGACUCUGCUGGUGGACUCGAGAUGCGUAGCGCACAAAUACUAGGAGCCAAGCGAUCACGCGUCCACAAAACAGAAACUGCGACCACCGAAAAAAAAGUUCAAUGUCAUCCAUCCGGGCAAGGGUAAUGAAGAUAAUGACUAUGAUGACUGGUGUUCCGAUUCGCGAUCUCCGCAUCGCGUUGUCGUUGUUGUGGUUCGCACUAGUUCGCAGUACUGCUCCUGCUGCUGUCAGGCCGAUAUCUUGCUGUAAUCGAUACCACUGGAUCCAUAUCAGUUUGACCGAGGUAGCUGAUAACCCAAAUCGCACCUAAUCAAAGGGGUUUAUUCUUCCACUUGGCACGGUGAGAUAUUAAACGACCAGUCGCCGGAUAAUUUCAUUUGCAAACGUUCCUCACUCCAAGUCAGUCCGGUUGAAGAAGGUUUCGCAAGUUGAACGCAAACAUGCUGCGCCAAGCGGUGAAAGUGAACAACUCUUUGGUGGUCAGUUCGGUUCGGUUCCGUAGUACUCAGGCCCAGGCUGCAACAAUUGAUAGUGCUGCGGACGAUGCCAGGGACCAGGAAUGGGACAGUGCCCUGCCCUACAGCAAAAUUCCCGGUCCGGGAGUGUUUGAGAUGCUGAAAAUUUUGCUCCAGGAGAUUAAGUUCAACACCACUUUUUCGUGAGAUGAAUAUCGGAGUUAUGAGAUGAAGUCCAUCAGCAGUAACCCUAUUUUUUCGCACAGUUGUGUAAAAAAAGUUGAUAUGAAUUCUUCAAUAAAAAUAGAUUGGUAAAUAUAAAAAA